GAUGAACGCUGGCGGCGUGCUUAACACAUGCAAGUCGAACGGAAAGGCCAGUGCUUGCACUGGUACUCGAGUGGCGAACGGGUGAGUAACACGUGGGUGAUCUGCCCUGCACUUCGGGAUAAGCCUGGGAAACUGGGUCUAAUACCGGAUAGGACAAUGGUUUGGAUGCCGUUGUGGAAAGUUUUUUCGGUGUGGGAUGAGCUCGCGGCCUAUCAGCUUGUUGGUGGGGUAAUGGCCUACCAAGGCGUCGACGGGUAGCCGGCCUGAGAGGGUGUACGGCCACAUUGGGACUGGGAUACGGCCCAGACCCCUACGGGGGGGAGCAGGGGGGAAGUUUGACAAAGGGGGGAAAGCCGGAUGCAGCGCCGCCGGGUGGGGGAUGACGGCCUUGGGGUUGUAAACUCCUUUCGCUAGGGACGAAGCGUUUUUGGGGCGGUACCUGGAGAAGAAGCACCGGCUAACUACGG
rnacentral:rRNA from 1 species